CUCGAACUGCUGUUGCUCAGAGCUCAAACUCUUGAGCAAGCUCUUAAGCAACUAAGCCACUCGGCUGGCCCCCCAAAAGACACUUUUAUACAUGAAGCUGAGAGGAGACUUCCCAUCAAAAGUUGCCGUAAACCCAGAUCUCUGAGGAUUAAAAACGAAACAGAAAAUCAGCACUGGGACUGAUGCAGCCCAGCUUCUAUGGAGGCUCUAUGGGACCUUGAAGAUGUGGAUUUUGGUUUAGUGCCUGACUGUGGUUCUUGGGGGAAGAACUGGUUAAAUCCAGCCCAUCCUUUACUAGGACAGCCAAUACCAAGCUCUGAUAAAGAUGUAAACUUCCUUUAAAAAUUAUAAUUAAAUAACCCAAGCUCCUGACUUUUCCUUUCAAAUGAAAAACAGAAAAAUAAAAGCCUGUAAAAACAUUUCUGCCUGGUUUGCCUCCUUAACUGAUGAAAAUUUGCCUGCCACAAAAAAAUAAACUUGCCCCUCAUCAUCCCCAGAGCCUCCUGCACCCCUUCCUUCCUGCUCCAGCCUCUGCUCACUUCCUGGAUAGGACUUCUAAAAACUUCCAUUAGGGAGAGGCUGUGUGAGUCUGGAAAUGCUACAGAAUAUAAAAUGCCUGAAACAAUUGUUAUCUAGAUUAAGGUUUCUUAAAUAUUUAAGCAGACGCUGCAAUUUAGCACUUAAGAAAAGCCUGUCUUGAAAUUUGCAAAGACACUAGGCACAAUUUCAAGGGAUCAAUACAAGAAAAGAAAGCCUUUAACUCAUGGUCCUCAGCAGAGUGCUGCCCAGCUGUCCUGCAGUGUCUGGCAAAGACUGAUUGUGGCUCAGAAUCUGCCUGAGUUGUCUGCAGGUUCCUGAGGACAAGAAGCACAGGGUGCCUUAAAGAGUAUUUGCAAAACAUGGCAUGGAAAUUUAUCCUGGCAAACACAGCUACCUUUCAGCUACCAUGGUUUCCUGCUGGGGGGAAAGGAGACUGUAGCAAGAAGAGUUUUGAUCGUUCUGGUUAGGGACUCAACUGGAAUGAAAUGUUUUCAGAGGAAGGCAGUGUCAGGAAGCUCAAGGUAGAAGGAAAUUUACCAGUGGGAGGGCCAGAAAUGCAGCAGAUUGAGAACUAGAUAUCUAAAUGACCGCUGGACUUGUGUGGCUUCAGAAGUGCAGCUGUCACCAGUAACACCACUAGCUAAUAUGGACUGAGAAUCUUUGCUCAGGUGUUUAUAGGACUUGCCUAAUUUAUCCCAUUUGACUCCCAUGUAAGAGAUGGCCAUUUACCAUAGGAAUAAGAGAAGAUUUGGACAUGCCCAAGGAGGCAAGUCCAGGUCUGACCGACUAGAGCCUCGCUUGUUUAGCUGUGGGGUGUAAGAACAAGGACUCUCUGGAUCUAAACUACAUGGGUUCACUUAUCCCUGUUGGUGGCAAUGUAAAUUGGUAUAGCCAUUAUGGAAAACAAUAUGGAGUUU